GAUCCUGGCUCAGGAUGAACGCUAGCGACAGGCCUAACACAUGCAAGUCGAGGGGGCAGCGGAGGAGGUAGCAAUUACCUUUGCCGGCGACCGGCGCACGGGUGAGUAACACGUAUGCAAUCCACCUGUAACAGGGGGAUAACCCGGGAGAAAUCCGGACUAAUACCCCAUAAUAUGGGCGCUCCGCAUGGAGAGCCCAUUAAAGAGAGCAAUUUUGGUUACAGACGAGCAUGCGCUCCAUUAG
rnacentral:rRNA from 1 species